GUGGCUCUUUCACAGUGCAGGUGCGUCUGUAAGUCAUGGCGCAACUUUCUCUUAGACCCUGAUUUUGCUAAACUUUGCCUCUCAAGAGAACCCAGUUCUAGCCUUCUGCUCUUCAUGGAGAACGAAACGCUAGUUUCAACAAAACACACAUGAAUUUAGGAUGAUGGAGAUCUUUUGCCUAGAAUUUCUCGGAGAAUCUUGCUACUUUGAUUGCCUAGCGAGGGUCCCCUUGGGAUCGAAUCCUGGACCGGUCCAGUUUGUGAAUUCAUGCAAUGGUUUGCUUUAUCUGAGACAGUCCGCUCCACUUUAUCCCUUGGAGUUGCAUCGCGUAGUAAACCCAAUGAUGGGCAAGUACAUUACUCUUCCACCAUGUAGAAAUAUAAGGGAAUGGUGCCUAGACCAGUGUUUACUUGGGUUCUGUCCUAAGACUAAACGAUAUAAGGCUAUUUGCAUUUCCAGCAAAGAUGGUGAUUGGGAAGCCUAUGUCCACACUAUUGGGACGGGUGUUUCUUGGAGAAGCAUAGGGGCUGUUCCUUUUGGGGGUUGUCAUCAUAAUAGGGUUUUUUCUGAUGCAUUUGUUAAUGGAUGUUGCCAUUGGCUUGUCUUCCGUAGAAUAGGGUAUCAAAUAUGGAGUUUUGAUUUUGAAAGGGUGCAAUUUGUAUCUAUCUCAUUACCUUGUCAGGAUAUAUGGGAAAGCAUUGGGCUUUUUGGAGAUUAAAUCUAUGUAAGCAAGCGUGCUGAAGAUGAUAAUUUGGAGAUAUGGGUGAUGAAAGAGUAUGGUGUUGUAGAAUCCUGGGCCAAAUUGCUUGUCUUAGAAAAAACCAUAUGAACUUGAGGAGUUUCUCGUUUCUUGACGUAACGAAGUUGUUAGCAAAUGGGGAAGUCCUGUUGUUUGAUGGACACAACUUGAUUCUGUACAACCCUUUAAGCAACAAUUACAGAAGUUUGGAUAUUCCUGGAUUUCGAUCAGCUUUUGAUGGAAGAAGACAUGAUUUCAUUGUCCACAAUAAUCCAAUCUUUGCUUCACUCAUAGAUAUGUUGCUGGGAGACAACGUGAAGGUCGGGAUACUUUUUUGAUAAUUUAGAUGUCAUAACAGAGAAAUUAAUAUGCAUUUCUGGGAUUAUGUAGGUAUUUAAUUUUGUUUAGGUAAUUUAUUUUAUGAUCAAA
rnacentral:misc_RNA from 1 species